GCGCUUGCUUCAGCGGCCCACGUACGAAAACUGGGAUGAUCGAGAGAUGAGCAUGGCCCUUGCACACAGAUGACAUGAAAAUUCAUGGAGCAGUGCAUACUUUU
ensembl:snRNA U6 U6 spliceosomal RNA